GAACUGAUCGAGAAUUGGAAGUCCAUACUUUAUCACAUUACAGGUGUGCACAGUUGGUUUAAAGAAGGAAAGCAGAAAAAAUGCGUACACAAUGUUGCUGUUCUCAGUCCAGAACAGCAACGCAGAAAAAAAUGGCUUGGAAAAGACUCGCGUGCCUUCCACACACUGCAGAGUCUUGUUCUGGACAAAGGACUUCAAAAGGAUUUGAGGCAAAUGGCUCUUUUCAAACACACUGGACAACUGGAGGUGUUUAAUUCUGUCCUACUGAAAUACUGCCCAAAGAACCUGCAUUUUCAUUAUGCGUCCAUGGUUGCACGAACACAACUCGCUAUCCUUGACCAUAAUGAAAAUGUAGGUCGUCAGCAAGCAACAACCACUACUGGUGCAUCUCGGUACAAAGUGGUUUUCCCCAAACAUACCAAAGAAUGGGUAGCCAAAGCGAUUUUUACACAAACCACUCAAAAAUUCAGAGAGUCUCUGGUUGAGAAAGUUGUACAGCGGCGGCUGGACACCAGCGUUGUUUACAAGGAAAGUUCUUGUCGUUUGACUCAUCAUCACCCAUUGCCACAGAACAUAGCCCCAACACCAAGGCCUGACAAGCAAGAAGUAAUUGCAAAGCGUUUAUCACGAUUUGGACACUAAUUUGCUUUAAAAAUGUUGAAGUCUUUUAUAGUUUUUUUUUAUAUAGUUUUUCUGAUUUUUUUCUUAUUGAGGUAAAAACAGAAAACACUGUUGGUGAAACAAACAAAAUAUUUAUGGUGUUAGUGUGAAAUAUAUGGUCCUUACUGAUGGUACCCCACAUCAGUUGGAAUUAAACAUAAACGAAUGUAUUUCUCAAAUUUGUUUUAUUCUUCCAAAAUAAACAUUUGUGUGAGACAUCA
ensembl:lncRNA